CAUGUGGUUUAAUUCGAUGAUACGCGAGGAACCGUUACCUGGGCUCAAAUGUAUGUUGACGUAUUCUGAAAGGGAUACUUCUUCGGACAAUAUACAAGGUGCUGCAUGGUUGUCGUCAGCUCGUGCCGUGAGGUGUCGGGUUAAGGUCCCAUAACGAGCGCAACCCCUAUCAUUAGUUGCCAUCAGGUCAAGCUGGGGACUCUAAUGAAACUGCCUACGCAAGUAGUGAGGAAGGUGGGGAUGACGUCAAAUCAGCACGGCCCUUACGUCCAGGGCUACACACGUGCUACAAUGGCCGAUACAGAGGGCAGCUACCUGGUGACAGGAUGCAAAUCUCCAAAGUCGGUCUCAGUUCGGAUCGGAGUCUGCAACCCGACUCCGUGAAGUUGGAUUCGCUAGUAAUCGCGCAUCAGCCAUGGCGCGGUGAAUACGUUCCCGGGCCUU
rnacentral:rRNA from 1 species